CUGAGUGGCGGCGGCUGCUGAUUGUGUUGUAGGGGACGGAGUAGGGGAAGACGUUUGCUCUCCCGGAACAGCCUAUCUCAUUCCUUUCUUUCGAUUACCCGUGGCGCGGAGAGUCAAGGCGGCGGCUGCGGCAGCAAGGGCGGCGGUGGCGGCGGCGGCAGCUGCAGUGACAUGUCCAGCAUGAAUCCCGAAUAUGAUUAUUUAUUCAAGUUACUUCUGAUUGGCGACUCAGGGGUUGGAAAGUCUUGCCUUCUUCUUAGGUUUGCAGUAUACAGGGUGUGAGCAAGCAGAACUCGGACAGCUCUGUCAUGCUGAAGCGGGAAUACAGUCCCUGAGAAGCAUCUCCUGGCAGACACCCUCAAUCACUGUCGCUAACAGGACACGUCCAAACCCAGGAGGUAGCCCCAGACCCCAUCCUGCUCAGUUCACACGCCAGUGGUAACUGAACACUAGCAGAAUGACUGGUUCAUCUCAGCUUCUUCACUGAAUUUUUUAUCUGCUUGAUGAAGAACUCACUCCCGAGGGAAGCAGGACAGCACAGUAUUCAAGGACAUGGGUUUUGGCACCAGACAAACCUGAGGCCAGCCCCUAACUUUGCCACCUUCCAGAUGUAUGACUUCGAGCCUCACUUUCCUCCCCUCAUAGCACCAGCUCCUCAGAAAGUAAGGAUUAAAUACGCCCAUGAGUGCAAAGCACAUGGUAAGAGCUUAACGAACAACAGGAAUUCUAAUAAUAAGCACCAGACUCAUCCUCGUGAAA
rnacentral:sRNA from 1 species